GCCUAUGUGAUGACAGUGUGGAUUAUUCGAGUGAAAUUUGGCCAGCUAUAGAGAAACCUCUCCUCCCUCUCAAUGGACACCUCAUUGACCAUUAUCCCAGCUCACAACUGCCAGUCCAGCAGAAAGUCACUUUGUUGGACACUGCUGUCAUGAUGAUGAGUUGUAAAGCUUCUUCAAACAGGCCAGGAAAGUCCUGAGCAUGGAGGCUAACAAAGGCCCAUCAGUUCUGGAUCACAUGGAACUCAACUUGUCCUAUGGAGGGCUGCACCUCACAUACAGAGAACAGUACCCAUCAGCACCCCAUCUACAUCCAGCCACCUCACUAAUUUGUAGUCUGGACGAGUCAGCGCUAAGUGGCGAAAGUCAUAGCCAGUCUGCAGAUUUUGGGCAGCGUUUUUUGAAGAUUUCACAGAAAAUCACGUGGUAAAUGACAGGCACAAACUCCGAAUUUUUGGUGUCAAUUUGCAAGAUUCCGUUCAGACGGAGGAUAUCGAACAUAUUUUGAGACGAUUUAAGAUUGUUUUUAAUUGUGACGCGUCUCUUCGCAACGAGGCGCGUGUUUCUCCUCUUCCCACCCACGCAAGGAGUGUUUGUUUCCUGGAAAAUGAAACCAACAUAUCCAGCAGAGCUUUGUGAAACCGAAACUCGAAACUCAGUGAAGUUGUUGGUUAACACACUAUUUGCUGAAAUCAUCCCGUUUUUAUUCCCACCGAACAAAGUUCUACCUUCCAUUUGACCACUGGACAAAGAUUUAGUGUGGAUAAUUCUGGUGAAUUUUUGAAAAAAUGAUCUCCUCCCUCUGCGCCGCCUCAGUGGACUAUUCAUUCUCUUACCCCAGCUUUCAACCCAACACAGAAAGCAUAAUGUCAGUGAUGCAUGAACUGAAGACAAAGAACAUUGCAGACAGAAACCUUUUCUCCAACUUGGACUUUGCUGAGAGAUUCUUUAGAAACCAUCCUCUAAAACUGUCCUCCAAAUUAUUAGUCAAAGGAAAUUACUCUUGUGUACAAAUGGGUCAGAAUAACAACCAAGUUGUUACUGUAACAUCAGAAAACAAUCAAACCUAUGUCAAUGUCUGUGUCCAUGAUCAAGCUGAGAAAACAAUUACAAGUUCUUUAAUUGCGUCCAGGCACUUUUUCAACCACUCCUGCCAGGAUGAGAUUAAAUCCUGUUUUACACAGGCUCACGAAGCUGUAGCUAAAGAGGGUCUGACAAGAUUACACAUCACAUGCAGCAGGUUCUCAGUAACAUACACCACCCGAUAUAGAGGUCCAUGCGCAACCGUGGAAACUAAAUGUCAGUUAAAGCUAGAGAACCUCACUGCUGAGGGUUUACUGAACAAAAAAGUCUGGCUGCAGAAAGAGAAGCCCACAUGUCAUGGGUUGAUAGCAUGUCUAGACCAUCUCAUAAAGCAAUACCUGACCAAAAGCAGUUCUUUUUAUUACUCCUAUAGGUUCAUCAUACAUGCAGACAAAGAAAUAAUCAGAAUCACUUCAGGUGAAGAAAAAGAAAGAGAAUGUGUUUUGAUACAUGAUAAUGAAGGGGUCUCCAUGUUUCCUCCAACAUUGCAAUAAAAGUUAUGACAGCACUCCACUGCAACAUAUUCUGUGGAAAUAUCUUCACAUGCAUUUAAAUUAAAUCAUAUCAUCUUAUACCUAAUCACAUAUUCAUUACUAAUUAUAGAUUAAUUGAAAAUAUUUGCUCUCAAAAAAUAAAUCAUACAAUGGCAUUACCUUUGGAGUACA
ensembl:lncRNA